rnacentral:lncRNA from 1 species
AAGGACCAAACUCUUGUUGUGAGUACGCAAGCACUAGUUGAUCCUUUAGAUGACAAAAUCAAUUCUUUUCGUAAGAAUGAUUUGUGUCCAUCUAGUGCUAGCACUUAUAACUUGAAUAAGGUUCCAUUACCAAGUGACAAGAGUAUUUACACACUAGUUGACCCUUGUGAAAGCCAAGGUGAGUCUACGUUGGUAUGUGAGUUACCAAUAACUA